rnacentral:rRNA from 1 species
GACGAACGCUGGCGGCGUGCUUAACACAUGCAAGUCGAACGCUGAAGCCCUUUUGGGGGUGGAUGAGUGGCGAACGGGUGAGUAACACGUGGGUAAUCUGCCCUGCACUCUGGGAUAAGCCUUGGAAACGGGGUCUAAUACCGGAUAGGACACAUCGCCGCAUGGUGUGUGUGUGGAAAGUUCCGGCGGUGCAGGUUGAGCCCGCGGCCUAUCAGCUUGUUGGUGGGGUGAUGGCCUACCAAGGCGACGACGGGUAGCCGGCCUGAGAGGGUGACCGGCCACACUGGGACUGAGACACGGCCCAGACUCCUACGGGAGGCAGCAGUGGGGAAUCUUGCGCAAUGGGCGAAAGCCUGACGCAGCAACGCCGCGUGGGGGAUGACGGCCUUCGGGUUGUAAACCUCUUUCGACCGGGACGAAGGGUGACUGACGGUACCGGUAGAAGAAGCACCGGCUAACUACGUGCCAGCCGCCGCAGUAA